rnacentral:tRNA from 1 species
GGAGAGGUGGGUGAGCGGCUGAAACCGAUGGUCCCGAAAACCAUUAUGCCCCUAAAGGGCAUCGAGAGUUCAAAUCUCUCCCUCUCCGCCA